GUUCGUUUGGUCGCCGCAGGUACCUGCGUCUGCGGCUGCGACGAUUUUUUCCGGAAAUCUUGUUCGUUUGAUUGACGCUGGUACAUGCGUCGAUCUGCUGCGUCUGACGCUGCGUCUAACGCCGAAGCCUGCGUCUGACGCCGAAAAAUCUCGCGUCCGCGACGUAAAUGAUGCGGCUAGACUGCGUAUCUUCUCUUCUCUUCCAUUCACAGACCACAAGCUCUCUCUUCCAUUCACAGACCACCACCACGAGCUCUCUUCUCCGAUAGAUGCAGGACACAGAUCUCGAGCUCUCUCUCCUCUCCGAUUGACGAAGACUUCGAGCUCUCUCUCUCUCUUCUCCGAUAGACUCAGACCUCGAGCUCUCUCAUCUCUUCGUCCUCGAGCUUAGACCUCUCUUUGCAGCUCUCUCUUCUCAAGCUCACACUCUCCAGCUCUCUCUCUCUUCUCCCACGCCUCUCCAAGUUUACGAUUCAUCCUUGGUAAGCCAUCCGAGUAUUGGCUCUCUCAUAUCAAACUCUCUCCAAGCUCAGACCCACUCAAGUCUCUCAAGUUCAGACUCUCAAGCUCAGACCCUCUUAAGCUCAGACUGCUGCUCGAGGUCUGUUGUGAUAGUCUAGAUGUUUGAAUGGUCUCAAGCUUGCCCAGACUACCAUUGUUCUUCUCCAGCUUGCUCAGACUAUGUGAUCUUUUUUCAUUAUUCUCUUGUUGUACAAAGAAACUUGUCAUUGUAUUGGAAAAUCUGUAUCAAAGAACAUAAUUUUGUUUCAAAUCUCAUCUAUUUCUUUUUAGUGUAUGUGUAUCCCAUGGAAACAAAUUUAAAAUACAAA